rnacentral:rRNA from 1 species
UACGUAGGGUGCGAGCGUUGUCCGGAAUUAUUGGGCGUAAAGGGCUCGUAGGCGGUCUUGUAAGUUUGACGUGAAAGCUCCCGGCUUAACUGGGAGAGGUCGUUGAAGACUGCAAGACUUGAGGAAAUGAGAGGGGUGUAGAAUUCCCGGUGUAGUGGUGGAAUGCGUAGAUAUCGGGGGGAAUACCAGUGGCGAAAGCGGCACCCUAGCAUUUUUCUGACGCUCAUGUGCGAAAGCGUGGGGAGCGAACGGG